CGUACCCAUCCGCUCACGUACAUCACGUACAUCCGCUCACGUACAUCACGUACAUCACGUAUAUCCGCUCACGUACAUCCGCUCAUGUACAGCAGACACCGUACCCAUCCGCUCACGUACAUCACGUACAUCCGCUCACGUACAUCACGUACAUCACGUANNNNNNNNNNCAUCCGCUCACGUACAGCAGCCACCGUACCCAUCCGCUCACGUACAUCGAUACAGCUGGAAGUAUAUUCUGUGCUUAUGUUGUUUAAGGAUUCCAGACUACCGUGAGUUAAUUUUGUUCGUGGAGAUCCUUCUGUGAACACUCAGGCUCUGGCACAUAAAAUGCCCCACUCGCAAGCAUCUUCCACAUCCAUCAGUUCUUCAGGGAGGAAAGCCUUUGGACACAUGGCUUCUCGCCAUUAUUGGUGUGCAGACAACUUGAAAAUUGGCAGAGGAAUCCAUGCUGGCGAAAGAGCAGUUGAAAGACCCUCAGAAGAGGUCGGGAUGCCCAUGGAGGAGGUAGAAAACUUCAUGUGUUCCACGCUUCUCACAGCCCCGCUGGGCUCCUGUGGCUUCUCAGUGUCUCAGGCUAUGCCGGUGCUCCAUUCGCCAGCAGAGGGCAGCAUUGAGACAUCAACGAAGGCGGACUUGGGCGUGCGACCGCCGGGAAGCAGAGCCUCAGGAUGGCUGCUUGUGGAAGCUUUAACCUUUUAAGCAAUUCUCCGGGGAGCCCUUCCUGUCAUGUGUGGGCUGCCCUAAAAUGAGCAGGUGAUAGAAAUGAAAUAUUAAACAAUUCUGUUCUGCAAAAUGAAAAUGAGUUGUCAUUUAGCAUUUUUAUCAGUCGAUGACACAUUCUUCCAGCUUCAGAAGGAUUUUGUGAAAAUGCAGGAGACAGUGAACUCAUUUACCACCAAAUCCUCAAAAAUCACACGUGGGGGCGCCGCCAUCAGCGGCAGGGGUGCAGGGAAGGCCAAGGCUGAGCCUGCAGGGCCGAGGGGCUGGGAUCUGGGACCUGUGACGCAGGCCAAGGAUGCAAUUGUCCUGGAUAGCAAUACGGAGGAAGCAGGCUUAUCUCCAGCAAGGCUGUGUGUGGCCAGGCAGAAGGC
rnacentral:lncRNA from 1 species